rnacentral:sRNA from 1 species
GCUGAGCGUGCUGGUGCAUGCCUGUAGUCCCAGCUACUUGGGAGGCUGAGGUGGGAGGAUCGCUUGAGCCCAGGAGGUUAAGGCUGCAGUGAGCCAUGACUGUGCCACUGCACUCCAGCUUGGGCAACAAAGUGAGACCCUGUCUUUU